rnacentral:rRNA from 1 species
GGGUUGUGAGGUUAAGCGACUAAGCGUACACGGUGGAUGCCCUGGCAGUCAGAGGCGAUGAAGGACGUGCUAAUCUGCGAUAAGCGUCGGUAAGGUGAUAUGAACCGUUAUAACCGGCGAUUUCCGAAUGGGGAAACCCAGUGUGUUUCGACACACUAUCAUUAACUGAAUCCAUAGGUUAAUGAGGCGAACCGGGGGAACUGAAACAUCUAAGUACCCCGAGGAAAAGAAAUCAACCGAGAUUCCCCCAGUAGCGGCGAGCGAACGGGGAGGAGCCCAGAGCCUGAAUCAGUGUGUGUGUUAGUGGAAGCGUCUGGAAAGGCGCGCGAUACAGGGUGACAGCCCCGUACACAAAAAUGCACAUGCUGUGAGCUCGAUGAGUAGGGCGGGACACGUGGUAUCCUGUCUGAAUAUGGGGGGACCAUCCUCCAAGGCUAAAUACUCCUGACUGACCGAUAGUGAACCAGUACCGUGAGGGAAAGGCGAAAAGAACCCCGGCGAGGGGAGUGAAAAAGAACCUGAAACCGUGUACGUACAAGCAGUGGGAGCACGCUUAGGCGUGUGACUGCGUACCUUUUGUAUAAUGGGUCAGCGACUUAUAUUCUGUAGCAAGGUUAACCGAAUAGGGGAGCCGAAGGGAAACCGAGUCUUAACUGGGCGUUAAGUUGCAGGGUAUAGACCCGAAACCCGGUGAUCUAGCCAUGGGCAGGUUGAAGGUUGGGUAACACUAACUGGAGGACCGAACCGACUAAUGUUGAAAAAUUAGCGGAUGACUUGUGGCUGGGGGUGAAAGGCCAAUCAAACCGGGAGAUAGCUGGUUCUCCCCGAAAGCUAUUUAGGUAGCGCCUCGUGAACUCAUCUCCGGGGGUAGAGCACUGUUUCGGCAAGGGGGUCAUCCCGACUUACCAACCCGAUGCAAACUGCGAAUACCGGAGAAUGUUAUCACGGGAGACACACGGCGGGUGCUAACGUCCGUCGUGAAGAGGGAAACAACCCAGACCGCCAGCUAAGGUCCCAAAGUCAUGGUUAAGUGGGAAACGAUGUGGGAAGGCCCAGACAGCCAGGAUGUUGGCUUAGAAGCAGCCAUCAUUUAAAGAAAGCGUAAUAGCUCACUGGUCGAGUCGGCCUGCGCGGAAGAUGUAACGGGGCUAAACCAUGCACCGAAGCUGCGGCAGCGACGCUGAUGCGUUGUUGGGUAGGGGAGCGUUCUGUAAGCCUGUGAAGGUGUGCUGUGAGGCAUGCUGGAGGUAUCAGAAGUGCGAAUGCUGACAUAAGUAACGAUAAAGCGGGUGAAAAGCCCGCUCGCCGGAAGACCAAGGGUUCCUGUCCAACGUUAAUCGGGGCAGGGUGAGUCGACCCCUAAGGCGAGGCCGAAAGGCGUAGUCGAUGGGAAACAGGUUAAUAUUCCUGUACUUGGUGUUACUGCGAAGGGGGGACGGAGAAGGCUAUGUUGGCCGGGCGACGGUUGUCCCGGUUUAAGCGUGUAGGCUGGUUUUCCAGGCAAAUCCGGAAAAUCAAGGCUGAGGCGUGAUGACGAGGCACUACGGUGCUGAAGCAACAAAUGCCCUGCUUCCAGGAAAAGCCUCUAAGCAUCAGGUAACAUCAAAUCGUACCCCAAACCGACACAGGUGGUCAGGUAGAGAAUACCAAGGCGCUUGAGAGAACUCGGGUGAAGGAACUAGGCAAAAUGGUGCCGUAACUUCGGGAGAAGGCACGCUGAUAUGUAGGUGAAGUCCCUCGCGGAUGGAGCUGAAAUCAGUCGAAGAUACCAGCUGGCUGCAACUGUUUAUUAAAAACACAGCACUGUGCAAACACGAAAGUGGACGUAUACGGUGUGACGCCUGCCCGGUGCCGGAAGGUUAAUUGAUGGGGUCAGCGCAAGCGAAGCUCUUGAUCGAAGCCCCGGUAAACGGCGGCCGUAACUAUAACGGUCCUAAGGUAGCGAAAUUCCUUGUCGGGUAAGUUCCGACCUGCACGAAUGGCGUAAUGAUGGCCAGGCUGUCUCCACCCGAGACUCAGUGAAAUUGAACUCGCUGUGAAGAUGCAGUGUACCCGCGGCAAGACGGAAAGACCCCGUGAACCUUUACUAUAGCUUGACACUGAACAUUGAGCCUUGAUGUGUAGGAUAGGUGGGAGGCUUUGAAGUGUGGACGCCAGUCUGCAUGGAGCCGACCUUGAAAUACCACCCUUUAAUGUUUGAUGUUCUAACGU